rnacentral:rRNA from 1 species
UACAGGGGGGGCAAGCGUUGUUCGGAAUUACUGGGCGUAAAGCGCACGUAGGCGGAUUGUUGAAGUCGGGGGUGAAAUCCUGGAGCUCAACUCCAGAACUGCCUUUGAUACUGGCGAUCUUGAGUCCGGGAGAGGUGAGUGGAACUGCGAGUGUAGAGGUGAAAUUCGUAGAUAUUCGCAAGAACACCAGUGGCGAAGGCGGCUCACUGGCCCGGUACUGACGCUGAGGUGCGAAAGCGUGGGGGGCAAACGGGG